UUUUCCAGGUAAAUCCGGAAAAUCAAGGCUGAGGCGUGAUGACGAGGCACUACGGUGCUGAAGCAACAAAUGCCCUGCUUCCAGGAAAAGCCUCUAAGCAUCAGGUAACAUCAAAUCGUACCCCAAACCGACACAGGUGGUCAGGUAGAGAAUACCAAGGCGCUUGAGAGAACUCGGGUGAAGGAACUAGGCAAAAUGGUGCCGUAACUUCGGGAGAAGGCACGCUGAUACGUAGGUGAAGUCCCUUGCGGAUGGAGCUGAAAUCAGUCGAAGAUACCAGCUGGCUGCAACUGUUUAUUAAAAACACAGCACUGUGCAAACACGAAAGUGGACGUAUACGGUGUGACGCCUGCCCGGUGCCGGAAGGUUAAUUGAUGGGGUUAGCGGUAACGCGAAGCUCUUGAUCGAAGCCCCGGUAAACGGCGGCCGUAACUAUAACGGUCCUAAGGUAGCGAAAUUCCUUGUCGGGUAAGUUCCGACCUGCACGAAUGGCGUAAUGAUGGCCAGGCUGUCUCCACCCGAGACUCAGUGAAAUUGAACUCGCUGUGAAGAUGCAGUGUACCCGCGGCAAGACGGAAAGACCCCGUGAACCUUUACUAUAGCUUGACACUGAACAUUGAGCCUUGAUGUGUAGGAUAGGUGGGAGGCUUUGAAGUGUGGACGCCAGUCUGCAUGGAGCCGACCUUGAAAUACCACCCUUUAAUGUUUGAUGUUCUAACGUUGGCCCCUAAUCGGGGUUGCGGACAGUGUCUGGUGGGUAGUUUGACUGGGGCGGUCUCCUCCUAAAGAGUAACGGAGGAGCACGAAGGUUGGCUAAUCCUGGUCGGACAUCAGGAGGUUAGUGCAAUGGCAUAAGCCAGCUUGACUGCGAGCGUGACGGCGCGAGCAGGUGCGAAAGCAGGUCAUAGUGAUCCGGUGGUUCUGAAUGGAAGGGCCAUCGCUCAACGGAUAAAAGGUACUCCGGGGAUAACAGGCUGAUACCGCCCAAGAGUUCAUAUCGACGGCGGUGUUUGGCACCUCGAUGUCGGCUCAUCACAUCCUGGGGCUGAAGUAGGUCCCAAGGGUAUGGCUGUUCGCCAUUUAAAGUGGUACGCGAGCUGGGUUUAGAACGUCGUGAGACAGUUCGGUCCCUAUCUGCCGUGGGCGCUGGAGAACUGAGGGGGGCUGCUCCUAGUACGAGAGGACCGGAGUGGACGCAUCACUGGUGUUCGGGUUGUCAUGCCAAUGGCACUGCCCGGUAGCUAAAUGCGGAAGAGAUAAGUGCUGAAAGCAUCUAAGCACGAAACUUGCCCCGAGAUGAGUUCUCCCUGACUCCUUGAGAGUCCUGAAGGAACGUUGAAGACGACGACGUUGAUAGGCCGGGUGUGUAAGCGCAGCGAUGCGUUGAGCUAACCGGUACUAAUGAACCGUGAGGCUUAACCUU
rnacentral:rRNA from 1 species